rnacentral:rRNA from 1 species
UACGGAGGGUGCAAUCGUUGUUCGGAAUUACUGGGCGUAAAGCGCGCGCAGGCGGUUUGCUAAGUCAGAUGUGAAAGCCCAUGGCUCAACCAUGGACGUGCAUUUGAAACUGGCAAGCUUGAGUAGUGGAGGGGGUGGUGGAAUUCCCGGUGUAGAGGUGAAAUUCGUAGAUAUCGGGAGGAAUACCGGUGGCGAAGGCGACCCCCUGGCCACAUACUGACGCUGAGGCGCGAAAGCGUGGGGAGAAAACAGG